rnacentral:rRNA from 1 species
UACGUAGGGUGCAAGCGUUGUCCGGAUUUAUUGGGCGUAAAGAGCUCGUAGGCGGUCUGUCGCGUCGGAUGUGAAAACCCAGGGCUCAACCCUGGGCCUGCAUUCGAUACGGGCAGACUAGAGUGUGGCAGGGGAGACUGGAAUUCCUGGUGUAGCGGUGAAAUGCGCAGAUAUCAGGAGGAACACCGGUGGCGAAGGCGGGUCUCUGGGCCAAUACUGACGCUGAGGAGCGAAAGCGUGGGGAGCAAACGGG